UUACGGGAAGAAAGGAAAUAGCUUGGUCAUUGAGGCUGAAAAGAGCUACAUCAGCACUGUAGUGGUCAAGGCUGUGGCAGGGAACGAUGGCAAGUGCAAGUGUGGAGAUAGCUGCAGCUGCACAAACUGCACAUGUGGCACUCAUUAAGUAGACAUAGAACCAUGAUGUUUUAGUCCAUAGCAAUAUUAGGACCUAAAAAUAAUGAAAUUGAGUUGAAUAAAUUGGUGUUUUGUUGUUGUAGUUUGAGACAUUGAGUGCGUUUUCAUGCCUGUUUGUCUUAUGUCUGAGUCUCAUUGUACACUAUGAUGGAAUGGUCAUAUCUAUGGACUUCGUAUGAUUAAUGAAUUAUUAUCAGUUUAAA